UACGUAGGGUGCGAGCGUUGUCCGGAAUUAUUGGGCGUAAAGAGCUUGUAGGCGGUCUGUCGCGUCUGCUGUGAAAAUCCGGGGCUCAACCCCGGACUUGCAGUGGGUACGGGCAGACUAGAGUGUGGUAGGGGAGACUGGAAUUCCUGGUGUAGCGGUGAAAUGCGCAGAUAUCAGGAGGAACACCGAUGGCGAAGGCAGGUCUCUGGGCCACUACAUGAC
rnacentral:rRNA from 1 species